CCAGGAGGGAGUCAGAGUGUUUGGUGUUCCAGAAUCAAUCCCAUCACUAGUGUUUCCAGCUGCGCUCCCAGCGACCCUCGCCGGCCUCCUUCACAGCUACGUUUUCAGACUCCAGGAACACAUCCCUGGGCGUUCUGAGAGCAGCCCCUGCUGACGUUCUCCCGAGGCUAAGGCCCAGCGAUAACAGCAGCACGUGCAGUUGCUCCCGCCCUCACCCCGUCAAAGCUGCUGUG